rnacentral:tRNA from 4 species
UACCAAAGGAUAGUAGUAUUCCACUGGU